AGCGAACGCUGGCGGCAGGCUUAACACAUGCAAGUCGAGCGGGCGUAGCAAUACGUCAGCGGCAGACGGGUGAGUAACGCGUGGGAACGGGCCCUUUGGUUCGGAACAACACAGGGAAACUUGUGCUAAUACCGGAUAAGCCCUUACGGGGAAAGAUUUAUCGCCGAAGGAUCGGCCCGCGUCUGAUUAGCUUGUUGGUGAGGUAACGGCUCACCAAGGCUACGAUCAGUAGCUGGUCUGAGAGGAUGAUCAGCCACACUGGGACUGAGACACGGCCCAGACUCCUACGGGAGGCAGCAGUGGGGAAUAUUGGACAAUGGGGGCAACCCUGAUCCAGCCAUGCCGCGUGAGUGAUGAAGGCCCUAGGGUUGUAAAGCUCUUUCGGCGGGGAAGAUAAUGACGGUACCCGCAUAAGAAGCCCCGGCUAACUUCGUGCCAGCCGCCGCAGUAA
rnacentral:rRNA from 1 species